rnacentral:tRNA from 1 species
GUGUCUGUUGGGUUCUAAGGCAUUUAGUGAUCUGAUUUUGGAUCAGAAGGUUGGGGGUUCGAGUCCCUCCAAGCGCAC